CAGAGACUGAAGAUUUAGGAAUGUUGAGAUGAAAAAGAAGAUUGACUUCUUUUAUUAGAAGAUCUACUUUAGAACAGGGGGGGCAACAUGAUUCACAGGUUAAAUUUUGGCUGAGGGAACAGAAUAUGGAUGUUGCUGCUGUAGGAGCAUUUGGAGCAGAGCUGUACGUACCUGCCCGUACCAGCUGUAUUCCAGCAUCGUAACCUCGGCCAACACCAGGUCUUUGGAAACUCAGAGCAAAUUCGUGGAUACCAACUGUUUCAUGGUUCAGUGUGAAUGACUGCACAGAAAACUAAAUUUUAAGACAUUGAAAAGCAAAAUGAAGAGGGAUCAGGCUGGAGUAGCAGCAAAGAAAAUGUACAGUCUGCUACCAUCAACUUUUUGAAAAUACAAGUCUCAAAGGUAAGGGAGUAGCAGGAUUUCAUGCACAAACUUUUUUCCUGAUUACCAUUCUCAUAGAAACAAAUUUUUGAAUAAAAUC
rnacentral:lncRNA from 1 species